CUUUACACAUGCAAGUCGAACGGUAACAGGGUGCUUGCACCGCUGACGAGUGGCGAACGGGUGAGUAAUGCGUCGGAACGUGCCGAGUAGUGGGGGAUAACGCAGCGAAAGUUGUGCUAAUACCGCAUACGUACUGAGGUAGAAAGUGGGGGACCUUCGGGCCUCACGCUAUUCGAGCGGCCGACGUCUGAUUAGCUAGUAGGUGAGGUAAAGGCUCACCUAGGCGACGAUCAGUAGCGGGUCUGAGAGGAUGAUCCGCCACACUGGGACUGAGACACGGCCCAGACUCCUACGGGAGGCAGCAGUGGGGAAUUUUGGACAAUGGGCGAAAGCCUGAUCCAGCCAUGCCGCGUGUCUGAAGAAGGCCUUCGGGUUGUAAAGGACUUUUGUCAGGGAGGAAAUCCCUAGCGUUAAUACCGCUGGGGGAUGACAGUACCUGAAGAAUAAGCACCGGCUAACUACGUGCCAGCA
rnacentral:rRNA from 1 species